AGAGUUUGAUCMUGGCUCAGAACGAACGCUGGCGGCAUGCCUAACACAUGCAAGUCGAACGGACCUACUUAGCUUGCUUUGUAGGUUAGUGGCGGACGGGUGAGUAACGCGUGGGGACCUGCCCAGAAGUGGGGAACAACGACGGGAAACUGUCGCUAAUACCGCAUACGCCCUGAGGGGGAAAGGCUUCGGCCGCUUUUGGAUGGACCCGCGUCGGAUUAGCUUGUUGGUGGGGUAACGGCCUACCAAGGCGACGAUCCGUAGCUGGUCUGAGAGGAUGAUCAGCCACACUGGGACUGAGACACGGCCCAGACUCCUACGGGAGGCAGCAGUGGGGAAUWUUGSACAAUGRGSGAAASCCUGAUSCAGCSAYKCCGCGGUGAGUGAAGAAGGCCUUCGGGUUGUAAAGCUCUUUUGUCCGGAACGAAACGGGCGAGGUGAAUAUCCUCGUCUACUGACGGUACCGGAAGAAUAAGCACCGGCUAACCACGUGCCAGCCGCCGCGGUAAUA
rnacentral:rRNA from 1 species